UUAUUUACUUUUGGAUACAUUCCCAUCUGAACAAUCGAAGCUUGGGUAAUACUGGAUGUUAUUAUAGUCAUGCCAUCCCAGUGUAAUUUACUAUCUACUUGCAUGGAUCCCUACACAUAAUGUAUGUAAUUUCUAACCAGUUCCAGAUACUGUGUUGACUUUCUUUUCUAAAGAUUGCCCCUAAGCGCUGGUGGUUGGAGAUAAAGUUUAGCCAAGAUGUUAUUCUGAUGCUUCUUCAAUGAAUUUUCCUGAUGGAAUCCGGGAUGUUCUUCACCUUUAUCAUGUAACGCCCCAGAUUUGUGGGAUGUGGGCAGCUGAACACAAGGUUAUCCGUGAAAUACAAUCUGUAAAAUAAAGUAAUACAAUCUGGAAGAUAGGUACAGGGAUGAACACUCAGCAAAGGAUUGUGCCCCCAUGCCUAGGGCCUGGCUACGCCACUGCCUGUAGCUGUUAUUAAACAAGAUCCCAACUGAAUGUAAAACACAAUGCUGCCUACACGCUAUGUAAGGCUAAAUGUAUAUUGCACCUAUAAUUUAUAACUACAGGUUCUCCAAGUUAGACAAAGGCUUCCUUCAUACUUGAAGCAAAGCUUUUUUUAUAUCUUCAUGUCAUAUGAGUUGUAGUUUUUCGGAUCAUCUACACACUUCAGAGAAGUUACUUUAGGUUGCUAAAAGCAAGAUAAAGUAAUACAUGCUGUGCAUGUUUGACACAGUUCUCCCCGAUUCUGAAUUUAGCUAUUUGUAUUUUUCAUUUUAGUGGAACUUCGGUACACAUGACCACAGUAACAUUAUUUUCACAAUGUCACUAGAGAUGAGGGCAACCUUAUUUGUGACAAUUAUUAGAGUUGGAUAGAAGAAGUGGUGUGUAGUGGCAUCUAACGAAUUGUGAAAUGAGCGACAUCUAACAAUUCUCACUAAAUUUGAGUACUCGCCUUUUUUGUCCCGUUGCAACGCACGGGCAAUUUACCUUUCUGUUCUUAUGAAAUGAAGAUUUGGAAAGGAGGAACAGGGUACUGAACUUUUAUAUAUCUGCAUAAUCUACAUCCGAAGUUAAGCAGUACACAAAUUACUAAAUGGAGGAACAUGGCAAUUUUAAGCUUACUACAUGCAGAAUUAUGUCGCUGCAGCUCUUUUAGUACUCAUGUGUAGAUUUUCCUACAGCAAUAUUACUUGCAUUCAGUUUCGUGCCGUCAUGGAAAUUCAUAUGUGCGUUCUGCAGCAUGUUCAGAAUAAUACUUUGCAAGGGACAGCAGCCCGACGUCGAGCAGUAGCAGCAACAUGUUCUGCAGCUUCGAUGACCCUGAUGAAUCUGCUAUAGUGCUCAACUCCUGCUAGGAGGGCAUGGAGGAGUUUCCCCUUGAACUCCACGACCUGAUUCUCAGAUCAUUGUUCUACUGACGCUCACUUCACCUGAACGGCUGGACCAGAUGAUAGUGGAUAUACCCAGUGUAGUAUAUUGUUAUAAGGUUGUGUAUUAGCUUCCAGUGAUUUUGCUCUCACUGGUAUCUCGAUAAAGCUUGAAGUAUAUGCGGAUGUCUUGCUCAGUUCAAUUAGUACUAGUAUUAGCUUGAAGCGCCAUCCAUACUCAGUUUCAACUAGACACCUCCAUGGAUAGCUCCCUUGCCAUUAUAUUGAAGGUUAGUGUUGUUACCUGUUGCUCAACGUUGCACUUUUAGUACUCUAGCUGCUUUGUAGGCGAAAUCGCCACCACCUGCAACCAUGCCCUCAGGCUUCCCUCAGACCGUCCUUAUCAAUUGUAGUCUCUGCUCGCCCAUGUUAAGUCCCUCCUUUUAGAAAGGGCCUCCCUCGACGGUGGCCUCCCCUGGAAGCUCUUGAACCUACAAUGGAGUCGGUUCCCUGUCAGUAUGAAAUUCUUGCGUUUGGCCGUCAGACUAUUAGUUGUAACCAUGUUAUUCUGUCAAGCUUUUCCAUCGAGUUGCCGAAACAAUAUCAAAGUAGAAGAUGUUAAAUAUGAAAGUACCAAGUUAUGUACUCUGCUAUUGUGGUUGUGAAGCUCGUACAGUCUGCUUGAUGUUCGCACCAAAUUUCCUUCAGGCAACAGGAUGAUGAGUUCAGUGCAAGUCUUCAGAUUGCAGGGCUAAUCAUAGGCAAAGAAUUCUGGACUUCUGUGGGUUUUCAUGAACGAUUUUGAAAUGAAGAAUAGUUGUUAAGUUAUUAUUUUUGCUAGAAGAGUAGCGUCGCAAAAAAGAGUAUUGCUAGGGAAGUAGCUAGAGUACAUGCUACUAUUUUUAUAGGGAAGAGCCUAAACGACCCAACUUAUGCAGUCUACAGAUGUUGCUUACGAAAUUGGGUAUAGAGCCAUGCAUCUGCAACCAUCUAUUAGCAACAUCAGGUUUGUGUUUGUAUCUCCUUUGCCUGCAUCAUUUCUUGAUCAUUAUGUUAUUAUUUUGUCAUCUUGAAUCCUUUUUGUUAUAGCCAUACAUUCUCUUUUGGUUUAAGAAGAUAAUAAUCAAGUUUCACUAAAUGCAUUUUCUAUAGCAGUCAGAUUCUCUAAUAAUUCAAUCAUACUGCAUACUGGUCUGUAAUUUCAUUUCUUUGGUCAUCAAUCUACCUUUUCCCUGAGAUUGUUUCUCAUAGUGAACAACUGAUAAAAAGGAUUUGUAGGAAAUAGACAAGAAUGAUAAGGUACAUACUGAUGUUUUCUGUAAUUUUCCUGUGUGGUUCAAGAGAAGCGUAUUGCAGCAGAAGAUUCAAGGGUGAUAACGCAACGAAGAAAAAAUUUGUGUUGUGGGAGAAGAAAUUCUUGCCCCAUAGGCUUUUAGUUUAAAAGUUUCCAUUACAUACAGUUUCACUCUGUUCAUAUGAUACAUUUGUUAUCACUCGGUAUUCUGCUCAAGGGGGACUGAUACUUCCUCAUAUGAGAAUUCUUAUCCUUCUGACUAUGUCAUGCCUUUUGGUCUGCCCUGGCUUAGGUAGUUUGUGUUGACUCCUUUAUUAUUCAGUGAUUUGCCAGCUAUUCAUGGAUUCAGCAACAGACUGGGUUUGCUUUGUCCCAAGAUCAUGGAUACUUGAAUGCCCUUUAUUGACCAUGUA